rnacentral:rRNA from 1 species
UGGGGAAUUUUGGACAAUGGGGGCAACCCUGAUCCAGCAAUGCCGCGUGUGUGAAGAAGGCCUUCGGGUUGUAAAGCACUUUUGUCCGGAAAGAAAACUUCGGGGCUAAUACCCCUGGAGGAUGACUGUACCGGAAGAAUAAGCACCGGCUAACUACGUGCCAGCAGCCGCGGUAAUACGUAGGGUGCGAGCGUUAAUCGGAAUUACUGGGCGUAAAGCGUGCGCAGGCGGUGCUGGAAGACCGAUGUGAAAUCCCCGGGCUUAACCUGGGAACUGCAUUGGUGACUGCAGCGCUGGAGUAUGGCAGAGGGGGGUGGAAUUCCACGUGUAGCAGUGAAAUGCGUAGAGAUGUGGAGGAACACCGAUGGCGAAGGCAGCCCCCUGGGCCAAUACUGACGCUCAUGCACGAAAGCGUGGGGAGCAAACAGG